UACAGUACAUAGAGGUAUGGUGCAGCAUAGGUGACAUAUGUUGAUAUAAUUAUAAGUAUAUGGGAAUCGGAUCUUAAGAAAAAUAGGUCAAGGCCAAGAAGUUUUUGCUCACUCUGACUGUUAUCAAGUUAUGAGGCCCUUGUUAUGGAGAAAUCGGUGAGCUUGGAAAUGAAGAUGUUCCUAAGGUCUCGUAUGAUAGUAUAAUGAAAUACUGCUGAAGAUAACUGAAAAUGCCAAGAAGUUCCACAGAUGUGUAUAGUCCUGUUAGAACUAAAAAGACUAGACUUUACAAAAUCUUUAGUGAUAACCAAAAAAUCUUCAUGUCAAUUAUAAAUAUUGAAUCAGCUGAAAAUUAUACUUAUAAAACAUAAUGAUAGUUACUGGUGAAUACAUUUACAUUUCAACAUUAUUGCUACAUCAAAAGCUAGUAUAAAAUAGCUAAAUUUCCCAACUUGAAAUUUUAUGAUGAAAAUAAGAGUAUGUGAAAUCUAAUGAUUAUAUACUCAACUUUUGGUGUAUACUGUUGUGUUACAUUUCUUAUUGUAUCAUUAGUAUAAUAUCAAACUCUGUAAUACUAUAUUUAUAAAAAUGUAACAUUGUGGCAUUUUCUUUGUGUUUAGGUUUCAGGAGAAUCAAACCUAAGGUCCAGGAUCCCAGUAAGACUUUUACUGAAGUAUUUAAUGAUAUUCCAAAAGCUAUUGGAAUGACAGAAAAAACAUAUUUAAUGAUAAUCAAUAGUUUUUUUGUUAAUGGUAAUGAUGCUAAAAUUGUGGCAAGAGAAGCAAAUGUGACAGAAGAUGCAGUAAAGGCUGCUGUGUCUCUUCAUCUGAAAUAUAAUCUGCUUACAACUGAUGUGUCUCAACCAACGAGCUUUACUUCAUGCAAGUCUAAAACAAGCGCUGGUAAAGCUAUUGUCUUAUCAGCUGAACAAGAAGAAUUGUUAGUGCAGUACAAACUACAAAACGCCAGAGCAACAUUAAAGGAUUUGCAGGCUUUUGUCAGAGAAGAUAGGGAUACUUUUCCACAGAUCACUAACAUUGGACUGUCAACUUUGUACAACAUUUUGAAACGGCAUGGAAUGAACACCAGUAGAAGGCGGUAUAAAUUUUAGUUAAAAAUGUAGUUAGAGCUCUGUGAUAAAGAAACAAUGAUACAGCUCUAGGAAAGUGGUUAUUUGAAGGCAUCCGUGAAUAUAUUUGAGAUUUUUAUUAUGUUUAAGUUAUUAUUUUUGACUAUUUUUUGUAACAUAUGAAUAUUAAAGUACAGAAGAAAUCUGUUAAAGUGUGAUCAGAAUUUAACAAUUGAAAUAUAAAAAAAAUGUUUAUCAAAAAUAUUGAAGUGUGGUUGACUGUAAUAGGGUAUCUGUUGGAAACAGUUUCAUGCAAACAUUUUUGCAGGUUCUUUUCGAGUUGAAAAAUAUGAGUCUUAUAUUAAAAAUGGAAGAUGGCAUAUGCAAUUUUAUAAGUUUUAUGGGUCUGGGUACUUAGAUUAUUUUUGAACAAUAGAGUAGACAAGACUAAAAAGGGAGUUUUAUAUUAGAAUGUUUGAACUUCAUACACCUAAUUUGCUCUACACGUGUGAUAUUUAUUUACCUCAAAGAUUUAAUUUUUCUUUUACAGAGAUUGGACCUAAACUUAGAACUAAACUGGAUCAUUUAACAGAUUAGUGAAUUUAAUGACAAAUCUAGUUAUAAGUGUAAACUUAGACUUGUAGAAACUUUAGGAAGUUUGUAAAAAAUUAGUCUAUAGCUUUUGUAGGCUUUUCAGAUUUAAAAUUUUUGGCUAACAGUUUAAUUUUGUUUGAUGCUCAUUCAGUUUUGUUAAACAUUUGUAUUGUGAAUAGCAUUUUUUUUAAUCAUUGAAAAUGUUUAACCAAAAACUUGGUUUGAAUUUAUUAUUAAUUACCAAAAUAUUUUACAAACACUAUAACUAAACAGCACUUAGAUUACCUUUCCUGAACACACACAAAAUUGUAGACAGAGAAUAGAAUUAGAUGUAACUGUUGCCAAAGGUUGUGUGACUAGUAAAGCCAAGGUUUGAUGAAAGGAUAAAAGUGGUUGGCUGAGAAUGUAAUGUGUCAAAUGAAAUGGAAAUGAUUAUUGGAACAUUCAAAGUUGAAUGCCUGAGUUUAUUGAUACAGCUUUAUUAAUGAUGUUAUUAUGUAUACUGUUUUCUUGAAUGGUUUAUUAUUAACGAUAUUAUGUGUACUGAAAAUCUUUAAUUCAGACAAUUAAUACUGUAAUUAAAAGAAAGGAAAAAAGAUUAAGGAAAAAGAAGCAUAAAAGGAGAUGCUGGCAUGUGUUAUGAUUCUCGUUGUAGAAAAUGGAUUUUAUUGAUGUUGUAUACUAUACUUAUGAAAUUUAAUAAGUUUGCAGUAUAUAAGUAGGUAUACUGUUAAAAGAAUAUAUUACUUGAAAUGAACUUUGAACUAUAUUAAAAGCAAUUAGGACAUGUGAAGACCAGCCAAAAAAACUGCAACCGUAUAUAUAUAUGUUUGACAUAUAUUCUUAAAAUAUUUUGUAUUUAGUACAGGGAUUACAGCAGUUUUGAGGAAAAUAGUAUUACAUUGUCAUGCAUUCAAAGUAUUGAGGAAAAUUAUAUAUCAGCUUCUUCAAAGGCAACUGAAACAAUGGAGUUAUAUUAACUUGUUAAAAUCACACAAAAUGAUCACAAGUUGACUUGUACAGUUUUAACUUCUUGAGCAAGCAGUUUUUAUAUGUGCAUUUAAACUAUAAUGGAAUGGAAAAUGAUUAUUGAAAAAAAUCCAUAAAACUGAUUAUUUUGGAAAAUCUGCUGAGUUUUAUUGAAUAUUGAAGUGACUAUGCCUGUUUGUGUUGUUUUAAUGUAAUACAAAUAAUUCUGGAUUAACAGUAAAUGCUAUGAUAUAGAAUUAUAUGUAAAUGAUGUUAGGCUAAAAUAUUACUUUCAUUUGUGUGGUAACUGAGUGGCUGAUGGUAUAGAAAAAUGUUACUUAUAAACUGUUAUUGAAUAAGCUUUAUUGAUGCAACUUUGAUGACUGCAUUAUUUUUAUAAAUCCUCUAAUGAAGCAUACAAGAAUGUCAGAUCAAUUUAUUUAAGCUAAAUUUGAUUACACAAUGCAGAUAAACAGUUACUACAUUUUAAGAUACCAAACAAAAGAUAGAAAGAUAUCAGUACACAUUCAUAAAUGUUUUAUUACCUCCUGUGAUUUUUUAAGAGAAUGGUUUUCUCACCUUUUCUGUGUCGUCAUCAUGUAGUUUAUAAGUGAUUUCAUCCUUUAAUUUACUUUUUCUUAAUCAUAAAGCUUUUACAUGUUUGAAACUGCAAGGUUAAAACUAAUAUUUUGAACUUGUCACUUUGGAUGCUUUGGUGAGAAAAGUAAAAAUGUUUUUUGCUCAUAUAAUGGUUUUAGGGAUAUUGAAAAGAUGCAGAUUCUGACAAAAACUUAAUUUCAGUUGCUUCAUACAUCUGCACAUUAGUAUUUUCAGUUUGAGUCAUUUGUCUUUAGAGUAAAAUUGCUUGAAAAGAUGUGUAUAUGCUGAUAUAAAUGGUGUUGUAAAAGUAUAUAAUAUUUUUAGUAAUUACUAUACUAAACAAAAGAUGUUUGAUUUUGAAUAUUGACAGGUAUGUAUAUGUUGUAAAGUAAGAGCUUUUUAUUUGCUUAAAGUUGUGGGUGGAUUCAGUAUAGUUUCGAUACUGAUGAACAUUCAUCUGUAAUAUCACUUUUUUUAUAUCUGUAAAUAAUGUUUUGUAAUGGAAAUGUUCAUACUGAAUGUAUGUUUGUAUCUGUUUAAGGAUGUAUUAGUGUAGGAAUAAAAAAACUUUACCAAA
rnacentral:lncRNA from 1 species